AACGAACGCUGGCGGCAGGCCUAACACAUGCAAGUCGAACGCUCCGCAAGGGGAGUGGCGCACGGGUGAGUAACACGUGGGAACCUACCUCCUGGUACGGAACAACCAAGGGAAACUUUGGCUAAGACCGUAUACGACCUCCGGGUGAAAGAUUGAUCGCCGGAAGAGGGGCCCGCGUCCGAUUAGGUAGUUGGUGAGGUAACGGCUCACCAAGCCUUCGAUCGGUAGCUGGUCUGAGAGGAUGACCAGCCACACUGGGACUGAGACACGGCCCAGACUCCUACGGGAGGCAGCAGUGGGGAAUAUUGGACAAUGGGCGCAAGCCUGAUCCAGCCAUGCCGCGUGAGUGAUGAAGGCCUUCGGUU
rnacentral:rRNA from 1 species